CAGAACCAGGCUCAGGGAGGGGCAGUCUUCUGCUGGGACUGGUUAGGGCUGAGGGAGAGAACCAGGAAAAAGACAUGCUGUGGAGGGGAGCAGCAUGUAGAACCAAAGCACAGUGCAACACAAGUGUCAUUGGCAGUUUCAACCUGACUGACCAGUUUUCCUCUAAAUGACAAGACCGCUUGCACUGUUGCGUGCAUGUCAGUCUAGAAAUGAGGUGCGGUCACAUGCACAUUUGUCCUUGUGGUGGAAAAUCUGAAAAGACAGAAGCAGUUUGCUACUUCUGACAAAGUAAAUGUCUGUCUGGGGAGACAUUUAAACACACGGACCUCCACCACAGCAGUUGGCGCCAGGAACAAACAAAGCCCUGAUGAAGAGCAAUCAGAUAUAGUGUAGCAGAUAACAGAAUAUUUCAAAUACUCCUUAGACAUUAUACUUUGAAAAAAGCAGGAGGGCCUCUUGAAUUUUCUGUAGGUGACCAGGAAGGGGUCAAUGAAAAAUGACACAGGGGGUCAAAAUUAAAAGAUGCUCCAGUCCUAUAGAAAACUAUACCACAUUACUUGUCUUAUCAUAAAGAAUCCAAAAAGGUAUAGUUUGGACUAUCUAUGCUUGAAUAUUAAGAUGU